rnacentral:rRNA from 1 species
AAUACGGAGGAAAAGAAACCAACUGGGAUUACCUUAGUAACGGCGAGUGAAGCGGUAAAAGCUCAAAUUUGAAAUCUGGUACUUUCAGUGCCCGAGUUGUAAUUUGUAGAAUUUGUCUUUGAUUAGGUCCUUGUCUAUGUUCCUUGGAACAGGACGUCAUAGAGGGUGAGAAUCCCGUUUGGCGAGGAUACCUUUUCUCUGUAAGACUUUUUCGAAGAGUCGAGUUGUUUGGGAAUGCAGCUCAAAGUGGGUGGUAAAUUCCAUCUAAAGCUAAAUAUUGGCGAGAGACCGAUAGCGAACAAGUACAGUGAUGGAAAGAUGAAAAGAACUUUGAAAAGAGAGUGAAAAAGUACGUGAAAUUGUUGAAAGGGAAGGGCAUUUGAUCAGACAUGGUGUUUUUUGCAUGCACUCGCCUCUCGUGGGCUUGGGCCUCUCAAAAAUUUCACUGGGCCAACAUCAAUUCUGGCAGCAGGAUAAAUCAUUAAGAAUGUAGCUACUUCGGUAGUGUUAUAGCUUUUUGGAAUACUGUUAGCCGGGAUUGAGGACUGCGCUUCGGCAAGGAUGUUGGCAUAAUGGUUA